rnacentral:misc_RNA from 1 species
GUACUAGGAGAGCUCCAUAUGAGGUAUGUACCGUAUGUGACUAACCUUUGUUCUUUGUCCUCUCCCUCUUCAGGAUUUAUGUUUUACAUUGUUCAUAUGUGCAUGUGGAAUUAUAUAAAUUAGCUGCACCAUUUCAUAACUAUUUCAUUGUCAAAUCCAAUAUGCAAUUCUUGAUCAUAUUAAUCAAAGUUAAGAAAAUUUUGACUAUUAAUUGGGCCAAAUUCUAUGAGACAUUAAUUGUUCAUGAUAGAUAACAAGGUUCUAUGAGAUGUUAAAGCUUCAGACUUUUAUAAUUUGGUUUUUUUUUGAUGAAUGCUUUACCUUGUCAUUAAUGCCUUCUAUGGCUGCACAGUUUACGCGCGGUGAAUUUGUGCAUGAAGAUUAGUUAUGCAGGGAAGAAAUGUAUUUCUGCUUUUGGUUUCCUUCUCUUUUUCCCCACUUCUUUCUUCUGGGCUAAUUCAUGAUUUCUUUCCUACUUAUUCAAGCAUAUUUAUUCUUUCUGCGCCCAGAAAAAUGUCAAGCACAUGUUUUUCCUUGCCUUUGAUUUUUUGUUUUAGUCACCAUCUUUGUGUCUCUUUAUUCACAUACAAGGCAUUAAUUUAUGUCAUCUUGAUUCUGACCUCUUUAGUCAUUUGCAACCCAAACUAUUUUCUUACCUAACGUGAUAUAUAUAUAUAUGGUUCUGAA